rnacentral:lncRNA from 1 species
CAAACACAGUAAGAGAGAGAAAGGCAGACAGAGAAAAAGCGGAUCCCUCUAUCCAGACGAUAUUUCCAGCUCACAGUUCAAGGAGGGAAGGAACAAUCCAAGAGGAUGAGUCCAGCCCGCGUGGUGGCAAAAAGCAUUCUUGCUGUCUUUUCAGUGAUGCAGCUCGGACUGAUCCCUACUAUGGCUGAGGAAGAAACAUCGGUGCUUGGUAUUGUUGGGGGAUCUGUGAUUCUACCCUGUAUUGUUAAAUCCCGACCUAAUGAGGUGAUGUGGAAAUACAAAGAGAAUGUUGUGAUCCAAUAUCGGGGCCAAAUCUUGAGAAGUAA